rnacentral:lncRNA from 1 species
CAGGCAUGCAGCCUAGAAACUAAAACAACCUACCUGAUUGUGCAUAGAUUUUUAAAAGUGUCCAGUGAUCUGUCUAAAGAGAAUAUAAGUGUUUGUGAAAUGAAUUAAAAGGGUAAAAAAAGGAAAUGAAACAUGAUGAAGUAACAGACCAACAUGAAAAAGAAAGAAUAAGACUCAGAAGAAAACCAGAUGAACAUUCAGAAAUUAAAAAUAUUAUUGUGGCAAUUGGCUUUAGAUGGGUUAAAUAGCAUAUUAGAUAUUCUUGCUUUCACUGAAAAUGAAAGAAAAUAUAACAAUAAAUGUUUAAGAACUAAAGCUAAACUGUAAUGACCCAAAAGUAAAAAGUUGAAAAAACAGAGUUGAAAAAAAUGCUUAGCUGAUGUAAAACAAAACAAAAAACCCUUAGGAAAAUAUCAGGCAAAAAUAGAUUUUGAAGGUGAAACAUUGUUAUGGAUAAAGAGGGCCAUUGCAUAAUGGUAUGAUGGAAUAAUUCACCAGGAAGAAAUAAUAAUUUUGAGCCUUUAUGUCUAAAUAAUAUUAUCUUUAUGUCUAUAAAUAGUAUAUAAAACAAAAUUUUAUGUACUAAAAAUGGAGUACCUAAAGAUAGAGGGAAAUUUUAACACAUUUCCUUCAGAAGCCAACAGAUAAAUCAGACCACUGCUACCACCAUCCCCAAGACAUAAAAUGGGAAUUCUAAAAUAAGAUUUCCCAUCACCUUAACUGAAAGAGUUUAUAUAGUUUUAAGACCGUUUCAGUCUGUGGAGUGAGAAUCUCCUCUUGGAUUUUUCUGUUGGUGAAGAUGGCCCUUUAGUGCACUGACCAUUCUUUUGCCUAAAUAUACCUCAGCCUCAUGGCAAAGAUCUACUAAAGUGGAGAUUCAGUUAUGUGUACUCUCUGGGGCACAGGUAUAGUUUGAGAAUGUUUUGGUUAUGACAAAGAACAAUCUAAGAUUUGAGGAAAUCAAGAGAAAAGAGAGGAGUUCUUGUCGUGGCUCAGUGGUUAACAAAUCUGGAUAGGAACCCCUCAUGAAUGCUAGUCAUACUCGUUUCUGCUGAGAACAUUUUGCUGAGUGUGUGCUGCUGGAAAACUGUCUCACAAGUCAUAGAGAAUUCAGGGAGAAAAUGGAGUCAUCCAAAUCAUUUAUUGUUAUCCAACUGUAUACAUAGGGCACUUUAGAGUCACUAAUAAAAGGAAAUGCCCACCUACCCCCCCAAACUGAAAUAAUUCAAGAUAGAUUGUAUCAUCUUUAAGAGAAAUAUAGACUUCAAGGAUUUUGUAAAAAUAAAAAUUUUGGCAGCAAUAAAAAAGUAAAAACAUAGAAUAUUUGGACAACACAAUUAACAAAUGUGUUUAAAACUUAUACUAU